rnacentral:lncRNA from 10 species
GUAGUUUUCUGGACCCACGGGACGGGCAGGAGCUGGAGCUCCGUGCCGCCUGUACUCCCGCCUUCAUUUCCCAUCGUGCUGAGGCGGGUGGCAUGGCGGAGAAGGAUGACACCGGAGUUUGACGAAGAGGUGGUUUUUGAGACAUUAAAACUACCACUACUAUGGAAGUACCACUACUAGAUGGAAGUUUGACCUGGACAUGGUGGCUCACACUUGUAAUCCCAGCACUUUGAGAGGCCAAGGUGGGAGGAUCGCUUGAGGCCAGGAGUUCAAGAUCAGCCUGGGCAGCAUAGCAGCAGAGCCCUUGCUAGAAGCCAGUGGCAUGCUCUUGAACUUCCCAGCCUGCAGAACUAUGAGCUAAGAUCUGGGACACACAGACUUUGAAAUAUGUUCUUCUUUGUCACCAAAAACAGAAAAAUGCACAACAGAGGGACAACAAAAGCCUCCUACAAGAGUCCUACCAAAAUACCUGGGAUAUAGUAAUCACUCAAUGAAUAUAAACUGCACUUACUGGCAUGCUCAAGGAAUGGGCUAUUAAGCAAGGUAUCCUGUUAAAAGUGGCUGAAACCAU